rnacentral:rRNA from 1 species
GAGGAACGCUGGCGGCGUGCUUAACACAUGCAAGUCGAACGAAGUGGCGAACGGGUGAGUAACGCGUAAUCAACCUGCCCUUCAGAGGGGGACAACAGUUGGAAACGACUGCUAAUACCGCAUACUGAAGGAGGGGAUUCCGUCUGAGUAGCUAGUUGGAGGGGUAACGGCCUACCAAGGCCAUGAUCAUUAGCAGGUCGGAGAGGGUGAACGGCCACAUUGGGACUGAGACACGGCCCAGACUCCGACGGGAGGCAGCAGUGGGGAAUCUUCCGAAAUGGGCGGAAGUCUGACGGGGCAACGCCGCGGUAGUGAUGACGGCCUUCGGGUUGUAAAGCUCUGUUAAUCGGGACGCGGUACCGGAAUAGAAAGCCACGGCUAACUACGUGCCAGCAGCCGCGGUAAUUC